AUGCUGCUCCCCAGCCUUCUGUGGGUGUCGGUGACCUUCAUCUACUCUGGAUCCAGUGUGGCCCAGAAAGUGACUCAAGUUCAGUCAGCCAUAUCAAGGCCAGAGAGGGAAGCAGUCACCAUGGAUUGUUCCUAUGAGACAACUUUCAGUGCGUACUAUAUUUUUUGGUAUAAGCAACUUCCCAAGGGAGACAUGAUUUUCCUUAUUCGUCAGCAUUCUUCUGAUCUGAGUGCAAAGAGUGGUCGCUGUUCUCUCAACUUCCAGAAAGUAGCUAAGGCCAUCAGCCUCACCAUCUCAGACUUAGAGAUGGGAGAUACAGCGAAGUACUUCUGUGCUUUUAGGGAACACAGUGUUUGA